rnacentral:rRNA from 1 species
CCAAUAGCGUAUAUUAAAGUUGUUGCAGUUAAAAAGCUCGUAGUUGAAUUUCGGGGUUAGUAGGUUGGUCAUGCCUCUGGUAUGUACUGGUCUCACUGAUUCCUCCUUCCUGAUGAACCUUAAUGCCAUUAAUUUGGUGUUUUGGGGAAUUUGGACUGUUACUUUGAAAAAAUUAGAGUGUUUAAAGCAAGCUAACGCUUGAAUACAUUAGCAUGGAAUAAUGAAAUAGGACGUUCGAUCCUAUUUUGUUGGUUUCUAGGAUUGACGUAAUGAUUAAUAGGGAUAGUUGUGGGCAUUAGUAUUCAAUUGUCAGAGGUGAAAUUCUUGGAUUUAUUGAAGACUAACUACUGCGAAAGCAUUUGCCAAGGAUGUUUUCAUUAAUCAAGAACGAAAGUUAGGGGAUCGAAGACGAUCAGAUACCGUCGUAGUCUUAACCAUAAACUAUGCCGACUAGGGAUCGGAUGAUGUUAAUUUUUUAAUGACUCAUUCGGCGCCUUACG